AUAGUAUAUCCAUGAUUAUGGGUCUCGACCCGAAGCGUCACCCAUUCCCUCUUUCCUGAGAAGCUGCCUGUCCCACUGAGUUACUCCAGCAUUUUGUGUCUAUCUUUGGUUUAAACUAACAUUUGCAGUUCGUUCCUAU